UAUUCAGGGGGAUUUACGAAAAUAGAUUUACGAAUAUAUUAACAUAAUUAUGUUCAUAUUAAAAAUAUGAAUCAAUCAAGACAAUUCUGUAUCAUUAUUGAUUGAGUCUGAAUUUGACCCCAUAGCAUUGCCUAUUGAAAUGUGGUAAAGCAUCUGCUAUUGCUCAAUCCGCCGAAAUCAAUGAAAAAGGUACAUAGUCGAGAUGAUAUUUUUACAAGUGUAGAGAUUUGUAGCUUGUCUUCGCUAUCUUUCCUGGCUGAUUUAUAUCCUGCCGCCUAGUCAGAGAGAGCUUGUUUAAAUUAUAGCUUUAGUUUGCUGCUAAUGAACAAUUCAUGUCAAUUUCUAAUUAGUGCGACGAAAAUUUCUGCUGUCUGCCUCAGUGACUGACUGACUUAUCUGUCUAUUUUUAUGGCUGAAGCUCAGGACUGCAACAGACAAUGAGACACAACUGCCAAGAAAUUAGCAAAUCCAAGGCAAGAUAAGUCAAUUAGUUUCGGCUUUAUAGCUGCCGCUACGUCUGCUCUGCUUUGAAAACAAAAGACCAGAAAAGCAGUGGGGUAGGAAUAGCAAAAGAAAAGCCGAAGGAAAACCAAAUCAAAUAAAAUGAGGCCAAAUAAAGGCAACAAUUAAUAAACGCAAACAUAGUGAACAGAAAGGAGACAACGAGAAGAGACAAAUGCCCCAAAACGGGAUGUAGAGAGAUCCUUGGGAUGGGGAUAAACACUGAGGGUGAAUGUGUAUGUGGCUGGCAUUGGAAAAUCAACUGAGAGAAUGCUCCUGCUUCAACUCAGCCUACCUCUUAAUCCCUCAGCUUCUGUUACUACGAUUUCAUGUGGUGCGUUUGUCGUUCAUGGCCCCCAGAGACGCAAUUGUAACAUAUAAUUGUGAUUUUUUUCUGGAUAGAAAGGAGACACCACCGUACCAUUGCUCUGAAUCCCAGUCCUUUUCAUUGUCUCUGUCUAAGACAUCGAGUUACAAGUAAAGCUGCUAUGUUGCCAUCAAAUAUGCAACCUUUUUGUGCUGUUCGUCUAUCCACGGAAGCGUUCCUUGAAAAUCCCGGGCCCUCUUUGAGUGAAAGUAAUCCGUAAUUCUGUCAAUAGGCCGAGUCUACGCAGCCAAAAUGAAGACUGACGUGAAAGACGCCCAGCCGUCGCGAUAAUAUCAUUUCAAGGGCACCCAGUACCCAGAAUCGGCCAUGAAACCAAUCCAAUCUCUCUGAGAGUUAUGGCUUUGUCGAAAAGUGGACCAGUACUUCGCUCUUUAUCUGGUGGGUCAUUUCUCAUAAUUUUCCACAGCUCCAGAAUUAUUUCAAAAGUUAAUAUUAAUGACGUUGAUGAAAAUCUUGUCAUUCGUGUUACCACCAGAGAAGGAACCACAUUAGAGAAGUAGCCAGAAAAAAACAGAAAGUAACCUGCGAAAUUAUGGAGCACAUAAAUAAAGGAGCCAAGACAAGGACCAGGACCAGUACCGCAAGCACGACCAGGACAAAAGCCAGAAGCGUUCGCCAAAUUGAUAACCCACGAAAAAGACCAGAAAAAUUAUUUUUCCUUGGUUCUCUGUGCCACCACACAAAGGAAUCACAGUAGCAACAAAAACGUCGUCGCCAUUUACAUUUGAAAGAGCCGCAGAACACAGAAGGCGGUGAUGACAGUGGAGGAGCUAAGGGAGGCUUAUAAGACUUGGCUGCUGUGGCUGGUGGUAUAAUUUUAAUAACUUACAUAAUAUAUUCUUUUGUGUGUCCCGGUUCCAUAAUUGUUAGAAGCAUUAGGCAAAUCAUUAGCCCUGCUGAUAGCGGGGUCCACCACUGACGCAAUUUGCUAAAAAUGUUUUUUUCUGUUUGUGUUUGGGUCUUGAUGGUGGACAAAUGCCUAUAGAACGAGAAUAUGCAUGAUCUCAUAUGUACAUAUGUAUAUAUCGGGAAAAACUUUCCUGCACUCUAGGAGAAAAACUCCGAGAAUAGGCGUAUGCCUCGUCCGAGUUUUUGGAAUUAAAUUAGUCGUGGGUUAUCAGUCAAACAGGGUUACACAUUGAAAUCUAUUUCAAAUGGAAGGUGCCAGUUGUACACAC
rnacentral:lncRNA from 1 species